rnacentral:rRNA from 1 species
GCGAAAAGUUAAGGGAGUAACGCAGACCAACGCAAUUACAACGGAUGAUUGUGACGCGUUUUUAUAAUUUUUUGUAAAAGCCCUCUACCCCAUCUACCUGAAUGAAAUAAACGCAUAUUAUUCAACAUGAUAAGUGGGUAGAGGGAUAGGUAGAAGGCUAAUAAAACCCCUCUACCCCCUCUACCAUGAUUAAGGUCGUUUGUGAGGGGCGGGUAGAGGAUGGGUAGAGGGCCACGAAAAGUCCUCUACCCAUCUGAAAGCCGCGCCAUUACUGACCUGAAAGAUGAUUAGGUAGAAGAGGUAGAGGAGGUGCACCACAACCUAAAACUUUUUAAACGAGGGGGGUAAAAAUAAAUGUGCAUACAUCAAAAUCACUUAACAAACAUGCCGACCGAAAACAUGAAUCAGGGGCGACAAAUGACCAAAAUGCGCAGAGACAGAACACAGCAAAAAUAUAAAGCGUUAGACAUGACAGAGCUUUCCCUAAAGGUGGCAAUCAAAGUUAUAGACCGCCACACACGGGAAGGAUACGCGAAGGAGAAUCCCGAACUAAUAAGCGCAUUCAUGACCACGGCGGCGGCAAACUUUGCCACGCUGACAGAGCGGGAGAUUGCAGAAGCGGAACAGGUAACAACCAUCAACGUUAAAA